CUUCAAUAGGAUUGGGUUCCUUCAACAAAAACCCAAUAGUCUACUCGACUGUGAGUAGAGGAGUUUACCUGUUUGUUGUGAUGAUGUUUAAUGUCCCCAAAAUCCUCUUUAGUCCUCAUUUAGCUUCAGUAACUGACUUUUUCAAGACAAGUAGAAGCUUAAAAAACAACACAAGGCAUCAUUACUGAUAUAGACCUUAUUUCAGGCAUUUAACCAAAAAAUCCAUUUAAAAAAAUGACUUUGGGACAAUGGAGCUGUAGGUGCUUAAACUCAUUUCUGGAUUUUAGACUACAAAAAUAUGCCAUCCCUUCAGCACUUUAUUAGAUGGACCAACAUCCGAAUUAUUGGAUUACUGCAAGCAUGUGAAUUUUUUUUUUUUUUUGCAAAAACAAAUUGUAUUAAGUUUAUAUUUUCCAUUUGACAACAGUUUGCUAUUUUGGUAUUGGUAAACAUUGGUUAUUUUUCACAUUUCUUGCAUCCUAGGUGAUGCUAGUCAAAAAGAAACAUUUCAAAGGAUGAGCAAAUUCAAGAAAAAAAUUCAAGAUUUUUUUUUUUUAGUGAAAUAAUAUACUGUACACAAUCUUCAAUAAGACCAGAAACAUGUAUUAAGGAAGUAAAUACAUUCCAUUUUGACUUCAUGUACACUUUAAUGUUCAAACACAAUCUCUUUUUCCUUGUCUUUAGCUCACUGUGUCUUCCUGCUCACAUCUGCCCUGCAUGACUUGUUCUUGUGCUUUUGAACGCUCGUACUCGGCUCUCAUGUUGUGACAUGGAUCAAUCGGGAACGCUGCGAACUGAACCACCGUGAACCUGUCAGCUGCUCCACAGGAGGAACAGACCUACAUUCCCAACUGCCCCUUUGAAAGAUUUGUCGCAUGGAUGCAUUUCUCAGGACACAUUUCCUGUUUGUGUCAGAUGAAGUCAGUGAGGCCUGGUGUCAAUGACGCUCUGGAUCUUCACACACCUGCCGGAGAUCCAGCAUCACACCUCGCAGCCCCAGAGUCGGACUGUGACCCAGAGUGCUCUGUCUCCUGGCCCAUGUCUCAUGUUGAUUGGUGGCCUCGUGUUGCCCGCUGAUCCAUUGUGAUGUCAUAUGUCUGUGCUGCUACCGGUUCCAUGGUAAACAGCCACUGAGGGAAGCUACAAAACCAGAAAGGUAAACCAACUGGGUAAAUGUUAUGAAAACAUGUCCAAGGCACAUUUCACCCACAAUAAUGAAAAUGAAACUUUUUUAUGGACUAUUAAGAUGUUUUUUUUGCAAAUUGCCAAGACACAAAAGCACAAAAUAUUCUUAAUUGUCAUGGAAAUAAUGGCCUGAAAGUCCUAAAACUGGUUUGAAAUAUUUUUAUAUUUAUUUUUUGAAAAAUAAUGUAUGAAAUAACCCAGACAAUUCCUAAAAAUUGGUUUCAUUUUCUUUCUUUCUUUUCUUUUCUUUUUUUUUUCUUGGCAAGAUUCAUCUAGUCACAGCCCAGAGAUGAUGCAUCACGUACCACACAAGAAUUUGUUCUUACUUGAAUCAAAUAACUUUUAUAAAGUUAUUUUAAAUAAAAAUAAACAGAGGCCUCAGGGUUGUGGCUGAGUCCGUCCAGCAUGGAAAUUUCUUGGGAAAAAAAAGGUAUUUGUUUUGCAUUUUUAAAACUGAUUUUGGCUAGGCAGGCAUUUUAAGAUGCCAGCUGUGUUUUGGCCCAAAGACAAACACAUCUUAUCUCAGUUUCCUUGGUAAAGUGAGCGAGGGGUUUCAUAAUUCUUGCCCUGUAGUGGGAAGUUCUCGGCUUCCCAUCCAAACUCGAGGCCCUCAGCACUGGCGUACGGGACGCCCCCGCAGGCCCACGGCAUUAUGUGCUAAUUAUACAGUAUUAUGCUUAAAUUUGGUAAUAGAGCAAUUUCAGUCAAGCGAACUGAUCCAUAUACAAAUGUAUUUACAUGUAUCACAAUAUCAAGAAACAGAAUACUGAUUAGUGAUUCACAUACAAAGCAAAUUGAAAACAAAACGUGCCCUGACUGACAUGACAAAUGGUGGCGCAAAGUCCAUUCCAUUAUUAAAUCAUUGAGUAACUUUCCUUUCAUUUGUCAUUUUCUCUGCAUUUUGGAUGUUGGAUGUUUACUGAGUGGUUUAAAAUGUAAUUCUCCACCUCUGACCUGCUGUAGAUUUGCUGUAGCCCACCAGACUUGUGGUUUCUAAAUGACAAAAAACUAAAUGAUGAACAGAAAAUACAAAAAGGAGAAAACUAUUUAAAGGAAUAGUUCACCCCAAAAUGAAAAUUGUCUGAAAAUGUACUAACCCUCAGGCCAUCCAAGAUGCAGAACAGUUUAUUUUUUCAUCGGAGAAGAUUUGGAGAAAUUUAGUAUUACAUCAUUUGCUCACCAAUGGAUCUUCUGCAGUGAAUGGGUGCCAUCAGAAUGAGAGUACAUACAGCUGAUAAAAACAUCACAAUAAUUCACAGUUAAGCUACACCACUCCAGUCUAUAAAGACUAAAAAGUCCUUUAUCCACAAUAUUGCUUUCUCCAGUGAAAAAAGGCAUCUAUUCUGAAUCAGGAGAGAAAUAUGCACAGAUCAAGCACUGCUAGAGAAACUUACAAAUAGAAAUACAAAAUGUUGCUUACAAAUAGGCUGUUUUUCACUUCAUAAGACGUUUCUUGAUGUGCUGGAAUCGUGUGGAUUACUUGUGGAUUAUUGUGAUGUUUUUAUCAGGUGUUUGGACUCUCAUUCUGGCGGCACCCACUCAAUGCAGAGGAUCCAUUGGUGAGCAAGUGACGUCAUGUCACAUUUCUCCAAAUCUGUUGAUGAAAAAAUAAAUUGUUCUACAUCUUAGAUGGCCUGAGGGCAAGCACAUUUUCUGCAAAUUUCCAUUUUUGGGGGGGUAAACUAUUCCUUUAAAAGAGGACUUAAUAGUCCAAAAUAACAUCACGUAGCACCAUAGCGAAUUUUCCAUUUCACCCCAGAUACUAACACUUGUGGAUGACAUCAUCACUUGUGGGCGGGGCCUCUAAGAAAUGCCUUCAGGACCCGUAGGCUACUUUGUUUUCACUACUCACCUGGAGGACAGUUUCAACCUGGCACUCGCUCGCUCUCUGUCUCUCUGCUUUAGAGUGUGAAUGACUUGGAAAUCUUUUUCUAUUCCUUUCGUUUUUAUAACAUGCGCGAUGUUCUGAUUCUUCAUUUAUUUCUGUGCAGGUGAAAAAUGGGGCUGUAAAGUCGUGGUGGCAGUGCUGCAGUCCUGUGCUGCUCCCCUGAGCAAUUCCACAGCCUCUCAAACACAGAAGCAGCAUUUCAUGAAGAGAAGGUGAGUUUACUGUUGCCAGAGGCACAAAGACAGAGAGAGAGAGAAGGAGAGAGGGAGAAAACACUUCUUCCAUCCCCUCGGUUGUGAGAUAACAGCUGGGCCACUGAAAGAGAGAGAGAAAGACUGUAUGAAAGCAACCUCCAUUCCCACUGAGCCUCAAACAUCUAAAUAGCCAGAAAAAUUCUGUGUAAAGUGACUGAUUUGGCUGUUCAGUAG
ensembl:lncRNA